GAUGAACGCUAGCUACAGGCUUAACACAUGCAAGUCGAGGGACCGGCGCACGGGUGAGUAACACGUAUCCAACCUGCCCUUUACUCGGGGAUAGCCUUUCGCAAGUAAGAUUAAUACCCGAUGUAAAGGAUGUGGGUGCGUUCCAUUAGGUUGUUGGUGAGGUAACGGCUCACCAACCCUUCGGUGGAUAGGGGUUCUGAGAGGAAGGAACACCACAUGGGAACUGAGAUACGGUCAAAACUGCUAGGUGAGGCAGCAGUGAGGAAUAUUGGUCAAUGGGCGUUAGCCUGAACCAGCCAAGUAUCGUGAAGGAUGAAGGCUUAUGGGUCGUAAACUUCUUUUAUAUAAGAAUAUGUAUUAUAUGAAUAAGGAUCGGCUAACUCCGUGCCAGCAGCCGCGGUAAUAC
rnacentral:rRNA from 1 species